rnacentral:tRNA from 1 species
GCGCGUCCUGGUGCAGGACACGGUCGUCGAGGCCGGCCACGACUGCGGUUCGGGCGUCGCGGACGGGCU